CUAACUUUGUUUUCCCUAUUUCAAAUGGACUCAGUGGCCUCUAAGGUCCUUUUCAGGCCAAGGAGGCAGAGAGCAUAGUUUGAGUUUGCAGUUCUUAUAGUAAAGCAGGCAUCUCUCUCCUCUGCCUGUAAAGUGACACCCCUGUAAAGUGACAGCGAGGGAAUUUAAAAGGCAUAAACACAAGACAGCAAAGAGAACAGGGAUAGAACAUCAAUGGAGAGAAGAUUUCACAUAUGUACUGAAUACAGAAACUGAUUAGAAAUUGAUGACGUAGGAUGGAAGAAAAGGCAGCCUAGAACACAUGGGAAUGGGGUUACAGCCAGUGUGGAAGCCAUCCUGCCAUGUCCCAUCACAGAGAUGUUUGAGACUCAAAGUUGCCAGAAUCCUGAAGAUUGGUAUCACUACAUUAAGAUACUCCUGCUUUCUAUUUUGUAUUACAGUUAUUCUCUCACUGUCUCAGCAGCUCUAAUAGACUGCUGGGUUUGAUGACAAGGUUCACACCCAGGCACCUGCUAACCCUCUUACCUCACCUGCACUGCUUAGCAUAGACCCUGCAGACGGAAAAUCAAGAUGGAGUCUCAAGAUAGAGCACAGGCAUUGGGGUGUGAAUGUCAGCUUCAUCAUACUGUCAUUGUCUGGAUCUAUGAGUGGCUUAAACUCUCUAAACUCUAGCUUUCUCAUCUGUAAAAUGGGGUAAUAACAAUGUCUAUCUCAAAGGGUUGCAAUAAGAAUCAAGUGAGAUAACGUGUAUGAAAUACACCCAAUACAUAUGUUAUCUUUCUUCCCAAUAAAAGCCCAGUGCUAAUAGGAUGGAUGGUUGAACAGAUAAAUGACUAAACUACAUUGCAGAAAAUGUCAAGUGCUUCCCAUAAACACAGUCCCUACUCCUACCCCCUAGUUCUUAUAUUCAUCAGAGAAAGAGAGUAAGCUAAAACAUUUUAGUGAGAGGCAGUGACAUUGCCCUAGUUGCAGGGAAAGGAACCAUCAAAAGCUAGUGUGCUAUCUGUGAUGCCGUAGACCCAAAAGAAGCAAGAACAGAUCCCGUGUUCUUCAGCAAAACUGUGGAGAUCUGUUGUCUUUUAAAGGGCAGGACCAUAAUCCUGCUAAUAGGGACAAAUUUUUUCUUCCAUAUAGGUUUAGAUAGUGCUUCUCUAAAAAAGGAAAGAGAAAGAGGGAGGGAAGGAGGGAGAGAGGAAGGAAGGGUAGGGGAAGGAAGGAAGGGAGGGGGAAGGAAGGAAGGAAGCGAGUGAGGAAGGGAUGGAGGGAAAAGAAGGAAGGAAAGCUUUUGAGUAGUGGGCUCACUUAACAGGUCACUCUAUUAGUCUCCUCGAGCUGCCAUAAUAAAAUAGACUGGGUGACUUAACAACAGAAAUUUAUUUUCGCACAGUUCUGGAGGCUGAAAGUCCAAGAUCAGGAUGCCAGCAUGGUCAGGAGCGGGAUCUCUCCCAGGCUUGCAGAUGGCUGCCUUCUCACUGUGUGUUCACAUGGUUUUCCUCAGUGCUUGUGCAUGAAAUUGCGGGAGAAGGGGAGGGUGCAAAGGAGAGAAGGGAGAGAAUAAGCUCUCUGAUCUUUCUGAUAUCUCUUCUUAUAAGGGCUGGUUUCAUCAUUAAGGCCUAACACUAGUUACCUCCCAAAGGCCUCUUUACAAAUACCAUCACAAUGGGGGUAGGAAUUUGGAAGAUACAAACAUUUAGUUCUUAAUAGUCACCUAGUAAGGAAACUAGCAAGUCAACAAUUCUCACUCGUGGGAAAAAGAAAUAAGAAUUAGUGAACCAUGUUUUUUUUCUUUUCCUCAUUGGCAUGAAACUCACUCAUACAUACACACUAGCCUUCAAGGCUGGGCCAACUCAGACAUGGGAUUAGUCAAGACUCUUUCAGCUGCAAGUGACAGGAAUCCAGCUCAAAACGACUUUAGCAAAUAAAAUGUAUUGUCUCCAGUAAAGUCCAGGGUAGACCUAAGUUCACUCAGAAUUGAAUAUAGGAGUUCAAACCCUUUCUUCAAGCCUCUUUCUCUCCCUCAACUAUCUCUCUCUCUCUCUGUCUCUCCCUCCCCUCCAUUUUUCAGCUCUGCUCCCCUCUGUUUUGAAUUCAUUCUCAGGGAUACAGCCUCCCUAUGGUGGCUCUUGCCUGGCUUACUUUUCACCAGCUUAGCAAACUCUAAAAAGAGAACUUCUACACUAGUAAAAAAAAAAAAUUAAAAAUUAAAUUUCC
rnacentral:lncRNA from 1 species